CCGAACCCAAGCGGGCCGCGGCCGGGCAGAUCGCGGCUCCUGGGAGCCCCAGCCGACGGUGCGCAUGCCCGACGCGGCUCCGUGAAGAUUAAGCGACGCGAGCAGCUGCUCCUGGCUCGGCCUGCAGCCGGCUACAUCCUGCAGCACCAGGACGGGGCGGGAAGCGUUACUGGAUUGCAAGUGAAUGCAACAGAAGAUGUACAUGAGAAGACGCGGGGAAAGUUUCACAGUCGUUUGGGUCGAAAGACAAAAAAAAAAUCAAAUGGGCAUUAAAGUAUCAGGAGAUUUUGGCUGGAAAAACACAAGGCAGCAGUGGAAGGUCAGUCCUGAAGGAGCUGUGAUACGCCUAUAGCAGCAGGUAGGACAUUUUCCAAGCCUUCCAGCUUUUCAUUCUCCUGGUAUAUAAAUACACAUGAAAUCAGGAGUACGGAAAUGCCAGGCACAGCUGCUUAUGGCACAGUGACAUGAUUACAGUGCUAAGGCUGUGGCUGGACUAUGUGCUUUCAGCUGAGCCUUUUUUUUGAGCAACCCAAUGCUGCAAAAGCAG
ensembl:lncRNA